AGAACCAGAUCCAACCUUCUCGAUGGCCUUGACAACAUCCAGUCCCUCGACAACCUGUCCGAAGACCACGUGCUUGCCGUCGAGCCACUCGGUCUUGGCGGUGCAGAUGAAGAACUGAGAUCCGUUGGUCCCAGGGCCAGCAUUUGCCAUGGAGAGGAUUCCAGGACCAGUGUGCUUCUUCACGAAGUUCUCAUCAGCGAAUUUAGCUCCAUAGAUCGAUUCACCACCGGUACCGUUCCCAGCUGUGAAGUCUCCGCCCUGGCACAUGAAAUUAGGGAUCACGCGGUGGAAGGAUGAUCCUUUGUAGUGCAAAGGCUUGCCGGAUUUUCCAAAGCCUUUCUCGCCUGUGCAAAGAGCACGGAAGUUCUCUGCAGUCUUGGGGACGACAUCGGCGUAGAGCUCCAUGACAAUACGCCCAGCCGGUUGGCCGCCGAUCGUCAUGUCGAAGAAAACCUUAGGAUUUGCCAUUUCUAUGAAUUUUGAUAAUUUUUCUCACCAGUUAGGUCUAAUUUUAUUUGGUAGGUGGUGAGCGGUGAGUUGUUGUUUAUAUAGCAGCCAGUGAAGGAUGGUUAUCCACUGAGAAAUGAUCUUGGCCGUUUAAUAUUGACACGCGUAAAUCUGGAUAAUCCGAUUAAUAAGAUAACGAAGACCGUUGAUGAAAGUAACCGUGGUUAGAUUAAUUACAUUUUCUUAACCACGGUUAAGUUUUGAAUUUGGA
rnacentral:lncRNA from 1 species